UCCACUGGCAGUCCAGGUAGUUCAUCCAGAAACACAUCUGAAAAGUCUUGUACUACCAGAAUCUCUUGAAUACAAUUCUCUUUCUUUGGUUUGCCUAAUUAGAGAAAACAGCAAGAUUAAGGUACUCGACGAAUAAGAAAACUUGCCAUCAAGGAAUAAGUACUAAAUGAUUUUAUUAAUUUGUAAAUGGCUCCUUAUUAGGAGGAUUGAAUACAACCUUCUUGCUAAAAUAAUUUACAGUGGCGUGAUACGCCACUAGCCAAUUCAUCCCUAAAAUUACAUCAAAAUCCCCCGUGUCUAAUUCUAUUAGGUCUACA
rnacentral:lncRNA from 1 species